GCGGGUAUCGCCAAGCGGUUAAGGCUUCGGUCUGCAAAGCCGAUAUCUCCGGUUCGAAUCCGGAUGCCCGCUCCA
rnacentral:tRNA from 1 species